rnacentral:sRNA from 1 species
AACCUUGUUCCUUCGGGCAAACUACGAAGUCAGCUGAACAAAUUUGAUUAUCACCCAUUCGGAAAACAAGAACCUUCGCUUUUUUUACGAUAUCCAGACAACAAUGCCUUGAUGUAGCAAUGGGCAACAAGACGCCCCAUAUCUGUAACCUAGUCCUGCAGAACAUAAGCACUGCCUGGCGUAGAGACCUAUAAAGAUCGUGCAAUUUGGAAACCCACUGUGUAAUUCACAUGACAUGUUCUGCAUUCUCUGACGGUGUAUAUUUCUAACAUUACUCAAAUGUCAUUUUCAUUAUAUUCACAAAUUUCAUGCCAAUGUCAUUUCCUGUCGCAGAGGCCUAAAGAGACAAAAGUAGACCUUAUAAGGAUAAAGAUUAAAAGGUCGUAGCUUUUCUUGUCUGUCCUUUGUACGCGGGGAGAUUUAGAUUGCAAAGGGCAUUGAAAGCGUACAGGAGAGAUCUCGGAUAAGAAUGGAGGGUCAAAGAAUUGUAAGGAUCCUUUCUUUUGAUCACUCUUAAGGAUUACUAAUGUCUCGAAAAUUUACACUUCAGCUGAUCAAGAAAGCGUGCAAAACUUAUGUGAAGGCGUGUACAAUGAUGAACAGCGAGGAACGUUGUGGAAUAAUUAGUCAAAUAUAUUAGUGUGCUUUAAUUUCUAUCAAUAAGAUGCCCUUUAAAAGUUAUACAUUAUUUUUAUUCAAAUGUAAUAAGAGAAAUUUCUUCUAGGUGCGUCGAAACUUAACGUAUGAUGUCAUAUCUAAAAGCUUGAAUUACAUAUACACGAGGAUAAGUACCUUAGAAACAUAAGUAGGAUAAACUUGUAGCUUUGUACUCACCCACAUGCACAGUAGAUUAUGACCGCCAACACAAUCAAGAUGACCACCAGUCCCGCUAAGGAACCACCGACAAUGGCUAUUAGUUCAUUCGUUUCCAUUAUCUAGUCUUCUUCGCUUCUCUCUGUCAAAAGAAGAAAACAAUUUUCAGACUGCGAUGUCAGUUAUUGAUGAUUAAUUUGUUUCGUGUAUUCCCCGGUCGCAUUUCAGAAGAUACAUAUUUCAAUACUGUGGUCACAGAUGUAAUUGGGAGACGGGGUUUUUUUUUUUAUUGAUAGACAUUGUAUGUAAUCAAUAAGGGACGCUGAUAGUGCGUCAUGCCUGCGAAGAUAUUACUGCUAUUAAAGGAUGACAAUCGGCCGAAUAACCAGUAUAUGAUAAAACCUCGUAUUAUCGCAGUUCGAGUAUAUCGUGUCUCACUUUCUGCCUCUGUAUAUUUACCGACAUUUAUCAAUUUAACACCUAAUUUAUUUCAUUUGACCC